rnacentral:rRNA from 1 species
GACGAACGCUGGCGGCGUGCCUAAUACAUGCAAGUCGAACGAGAGCGACCGGUGCUUGCACUGGUCAAUCUAGUGGCGAACGGGUGAGUAACACGUGGGUAACCUGCCCAUCAGAGGGGGAUCACAUCCGGAACCGGAUGCUAAAACCGCAUAGGUCUUCGAGCCGCAUGGCUUGAAGAGGAAAAGAGGCGCAAGCUUCUGCUGAUGGAUGGACCCGCGGUGCAUUAGCUAGUUGGUUAGGUAACGGCUCACCAAGGCCGUGAUGCAUAGCCGACCUGAGAGGGUGAUCGGCCACAUUGGGACUGAGACACGGCCCAAACUCCUACGGGAGGCAGCAGUAGGGAAUCUUCCGCAAUGGACGCAAGUCUGACGGAGCAACGCCGCGUGAGUGAAGAAGGUGUUCGGAUCGUAAAACUCUGUUGUUAGAGAAGAACAAGUGCUAGAGUAACUGUUAGCGCCUUGACGGUAUCUAACCAGAAAGCCACGGCUAACUACGUG